rnacentral:lncRNA from 12 species
GAGAAUCAAUAAAAUUACAGAAUAUAUUUUGAGAUAAAGGUCUUGUUGAUGUUUUUCAGUUUUGUUCAAGGUUAUUAAAGAAACAAUUUUUCAAUAACUGAAGAACAUCCAAAAGUAUAGUAUUUGUGGUAAAAACGUGCCCCUGCUGUUGGGGCCAAAUGCAUAAUAAUGAACAUGAUAAUAAGUAGCUGGCUGACUUUUCAAACCUAUGAUAUGAAACUGUUAGAUUUGCAUGGGACACAUUAUAUAUUAAGUUGGGUGUCCACAUUAGGGAGAAUCAUAUGAAAUAUGAUAUGAAAUAUUAUAUUAACCAUAUGAAAUAAUAAAAUAUAUUUAUUGUUACUAAUAUAAACCAUGUUAAAUAAGUAUGGCUUUUCCUUCAAGCACUGUAAAAAGUGUUCAGUGUUAUUUUUAAUAGUAACAUAUUUUAAUGACAGCAUAUUUGUUAAAAAAAAAAAAAAUAUUAGGCCACCACCUCCUAUGUUUAUAACAUUUUCAAACAAAACAAACCACUUUUAUGAUUUAUUUUUCCACAAAAUGUGUUUCUCCAUCAAUGUUCAAAAGAAAAAAGUAAUCAGAUGAAGAAGAAUUUUUUUUAUUAGUGGACCCAUGUUCUUUUGAUCGCAAUAUACCAUACAGAAUAGUGGCACAUGUCUACAUGGGUGAUAAAAUGAAAAUUAUGAAAAUAUGCUAAAUUAACUGGUCAGAAAGUGUGAAAAUACUGGAUGUCUGAACAAACAAAAUGAAGGAGUGCUUCCUUCAUGGAGAUCAUGUAUGAAGUAAAACUGAAUGAUUCAUAUUUACUUCCAGAUUUGCAGGUGUUUUAUAGUGUUGCAUGCAGAUCAGACUAAUAUCUGUCUUCCUCUGUUCAUUACAGCUAUAAAAACUUCAGCAUCGGAUCAAUAUUCGGGUAAUUUAGGACUAGGAGUAACUGUUGGUGUAAUCCUGGUACUGGUCGUGGCUGUUGGUGUGAUUUACUGUCUCUGCAGGAAGCAUAAACAAAAAAGACAGAAAUGUACAUCUGAUGAAGAAAAAUUCAGAGACGGACUGAUGCAGGAUAAAAAGAAUAGAUCAGAAGAAAUUUGA